ACAACCAUAUAAAGCUUAACCCCUUUGGACUUUGCCCUUUGAAGCUCCCUUAUGAGCCGUAUAUCGUCGUGGGUGUC
rnacentral:tRNA from 1 species